UAAUAUCUAAUAAAAACAAUAUCCAAAUAAAUUUAACUAUGAAUUCAAGUUAAAGAAAAUACGAAAAACACAAAAAUAGAAAAAAAAACUAAUUAUUAAAGUUUUGCAAUCUCAAUUCUCUCUCAAAUUCUCUUGUUUUCUUUCUUUGUUCUUGGCUCCAAAUCUCCAGAAUAGUUGCUUGCUGCCUCUUCCUCUAAACAUCUAAAAAAGAUCCCUUAAAUAGGCUCCAAGUAACCUAAUUUUCAAAAUUCUAUCAAAUUUUUAUUUUAGGAAACUCGGGUAGCGUAGCAACCAUGAUUUCUUAGUGUCGCGGCGCCGUGCUCUCAAGUUUUUGUAUGAUGUGCCCAUUUAACCCAACGCUGCUGCCACAAAUUUUCAGCACUGUGGUAGUGGUUUCUUCAACACCGCGGCCAUGAGUAGCUCAGCGUCGCGACCUUAGUCACCUUGCUGCCUUGUGCGAAGCUUCAUCUAUCAAGCAUUG
rnacentral:lncRNA from 1 species